rnacentral:sRNA from 1 species
AAAACAAACAAACAAACAAACAAACAGCCUAAGAAAGUACAAAGAGCUUUUCAGGAUAACAUACUUGGUCACAUUUUAUCUAUAGUAUAUGGUGGCUGGGUUUCCAGUCCAUAUUUCUUCUCUCUCCAAAGAGGUUUUUGUUUUACGUGGUGCAUCUGUCUCCUGCCACCCUUGGCAGCCUCUUCUCAGCCUUAUGGUUUCAGUGGCCACCCAGAAACGGAUAAGUUAAAGAAAGCGUUUCAAAUCUUAGAACAGUCAUUAUUCUUCAUGGUAGUUAUGUUCUAGAAUAUGACUUUAAGUCAGAAUUAGCCAAUGUUGAACCUUUGUUCCCAAGAAAAACACACAAUGAUAUUCCUCUGAGAUUCAGAUACAAACACUUUCAUGAGUUGAACAGUGCAUAACUUAGGUUAGAAGAGUUUCUGUCUAAAGAUGAGUUGAUUUGUAUUAUUAUGGACUUAUUGCCAUCAAACUUGAAAGCAGCAGCUCUAAAUGAAGCCUCUCCGACUCACAUCACAGCCUUCUUCGUUCCCCACCAUUAGGCUCUUUCCAGCAUGCUCAAGGGCCAUUUGAAACAGGGACAUCACCAACCAAAGAGUACAUAAAUGAGAAAAAAAGUGUGACACUAAUAGACUGCAAAAGGGACAUGUUCACAGUUUGAGAGCUGAUGAGACAUGUUCGUGGUAUGAGCGCUGGGCAAAAAAAAAAAAAAAAGUCAAAGUGUCAUCAGAUUGUCACACCUUGGAUAGGGAUGUCCACACUGGGCAACUCUACUUGUUGUAGAGUGGCUGUAAAGGUGUCAUGAGUAUUGGUCCUUCAGUACUAGAUUUGAGCAAGUAGGGAAAGGCACAGACACAGAAUCCACCAAUAGUGAGGACUUGCAGUGUUCUCAUUCCCCAGUGAGCUCUUGCUCCCUUUCAUUCUUUGUCAUUGACAGCAGCCUGUUAGGUGGCCUCCAGGAACCCCUGUCUCCUGGUCUUCCUUCCAGGAAAAUGGCGUUGGUAAUGACAAUCCCCCUGUUUGAGGUGCUAGACUUAUUUUUUUAAUACAAUGUGGCUUAAGGUGAUAGAAUAUCAGUUUUAAGACUGAGUUACAAAAGCUCCUAAUUCAUCUCCCUCCCCAUCUUUCUCCCCACUCUCCCCUCAUUCCCUCUCCCUGCUCUGUGAGAAACCAGCUAACACCUUUCCAACUUCUCUAUGGAAAAGCUAACAAAAUGGAUUAAGAGAGAUGAUAGGAAAAUGAGACUCUCCACACUAUAGCAGCAACAAACAAUUCUGCCAACAGCCUCUUGAGUGAGCAGAUCUUCCCUCUGGCAAGACUUCAGGUAAAGUUGCCAUCCAGGUCCAUGUGUACAUUAUGAUAUUGUAAGAAGCCUUAGACCCAGAGGCAGCAAGCCAAACCAAUACACAGAUUCUUAUCCCAGAUAAAAUGUAAAAUAAUGAAUGAGUGAUGUCUUAAGAUGCUGUUUUGGGUGCUUUGUGAUCGCAUCAAAGAUAAGCAAUACAGUCACCUCCACAUUCUAUCUAUGCGUAUCGUGUGGUGCGUAUCGUGUGGUGUCUUUUGUCUUCAUAAUGACCUGGCAAAUUGCUGUUAUUAUUUUCAUUGUAUAGAUCAUACAACCGUCUACCAAAGUAUUUGGUAACUUGAAGAAAGUCACACAGUUGGAAGUAGAUUCUGACCUCAAGUCUAAUCAGCCCGAGAACUCAAGCUAUGAUAGAUUCGCAUAAUACCAUGGGCCAGAGAAAGAGUAAUGACUUCCUUGUUUUGAGGUCACUGCCUCAGAUGUUGCCUCAACCAACCCACAGUCAAGAAAGAAAAAAAAAGGUUGAGAGGAAACUGAAAGAGACCAGAGAUGGCCACAGCCGUCUUCAGCAUCUGCCACUGUGCCUUCCCAGUCAGCAUUUGCAGAAGAAGCCAUUGGAGCUAAGGAUUGUGCUAGUGUUGUUUCUCACAAAGUCAUCCAGCCUGGAAUCGGAUUUUAUCUGUGAGGCUGGACUGCCAGACCAAGAGAUACAUGAAGAUCAGUAGCCCCUGUACUGCGAUCCUGACCUUAGGAUGAGAGAGCACUAAGCUCAUGGUCAUCUCCAAACCAGUGCAUCCGGGAUGAAGAUCCACGGAUUCUGAUCCUUGUCCAGAGUACCAUUCCCCAAGCUACUUCCCCAUGCCAGACUUUGAAGUGUGUCAUCUCAGGGUAAAAUGAUGGUUGGCCAUUGUGUCUGUCUUCUCCCCCUCCCAACAGAGGGACUCAUCAUUUGUUUUCAUUUUCUUCUUCCCUGCUGGUCACUGGACAUGACUUUCACAAGUACUGUAAGUGUGAAUUGCCUAUGGUUACAUCUCCUGAUUGGAAUCUGUGACAGUCAAUACUUUCCCAGGAUGGCAUCCCUCAGCAAGACUGGAGUCAAUAAGUGUUGAGAAGGCAAUCAGCAAGUACCCAUUAGCUCUCUGGGCUUUGUUUAGAACUGCAAGCUUUUGCAAAGCAUCAUGCUUAAUUAUUUCUGUAGCAGGGGAUAGACACCCUUCCUAACACCGCUAAAGCAAAUGGAGAUGCAUUAGGCCCGGAACACAAGAAUGAAUAUCAAGUGAUGGGGAAGGAAAGGGCCACAGGAACAUUCUGGGAAAACGAAAGGCUAACACUUCAGUAGUAUCAGGUCUCUGCUUAGUUUCACGCUCACAUGUCCCUGCAUGUUGACUUCAUCCUGCACAGUAUAAAAAAAUGCUCACCGCAGUACAGAAAUGAACGCAAUAGAAGGUACUUCCUAACAUAUGGCUGCAAAUGGCAGGGGUUAAUGGAUGGUCUAUAGAGAGGAGCCUUACAGGGAGAGUGACAUUUUGUCAGUGUCUACUCUGGAAACUGGACUGAAUGCCUGUGAUGAGUAAUCUUCACUGUCAACCUGAUCAGAUUUAGAAACACUUCUCUGGGUAUGUUCAUAGGAGUGUUUCCUGAAAGGUUUAGCUGAAAAUGAAAAACCUCACUCUGAACAUGGGUGGCAUGAUGCCAGUAAGUUGGGGUCAAUAAAAGGGAGAAAGUGGUCUGGAAACUCAGAGUUAAUGUCUCUGUCACUUCCUGACUACAUAUGUAAUGCUAUUGUCACGCAUUCCUGGUGCCCUGCCUUCCUCACAAUAAUGGAAAGUGCCUUCAAACCUUGAGCCAAAAUAAACCUUUCUUGUUUAGCAGAAUUAUUAAGGUAUUCUAUCUUAACAACCAGAAAAGUAACUGAUACAGAAUCUUUGGUGCAGAUACAUGAUGCUAAGAGAGGUGGUAAUAGCAGACACGUGUAAGAAAGAGAAUUAAUUUCAAGUCCCUUGUUUCAAGAGUGGGAGAGGAGGAAGAUAUUCUCAGUGUAGGGAGGGUGGCCUUUCCUAGACAAGCAGGGUGUGCCUACGUUUGAACAGGUUUGGAAGAAGCCUGGCACCAAAUGGAUUCUUCUGAAGCAACAUUGGGCUUGUUUCUCUGUAGGUUCAACUGGUCCAUAGGCAGCUACCCAACCUUCACUUUUAAACUGUGCUUUUCCAAGGACUGACUUCCGCAGUCUCAUCCCAUUUACAGGGUUAUGGGGAAAGCUCUACAACGCAGGACUUGGUCCAGGUUGUUGCUGCUGGGUCCAUGUUAAAAGAGUACCAUCUUCACUUUCAUCCACAUGGUGGUUGAUUUGUCUAUUGACAGGCACUCGAACUAAGCCAGACCCAUCAGAGAAUUUCCAUACACUGUGCUAAGCCAUGAGCAGUCUGAAUCCUUCAAUAAAUCAUAGCUGUUUUUUCUGUCAUCUCUGCCCUCUUGCUUACAAAAGUUAAUUUCCAAAAGUUGAUGACCACGUGGGUUAAAGACAGACUCUUCACAAGAUUGUCCUGCUCAGAUACUAGCCCAAGUCCCAGGAAAAUCCACAUGAGUAAAGACUGAUUACAAAUUAAGAAUGUUCCAUAGUCUCUUCAGAGUUAAUGAUUUGUCAGGAUCUCAGAAGUUUCUGAAAGGGCUAUAUUGUUCAUAAUCAUAGUUUAAUUAUAUCAGAUACACUGGAAUAGAAGAUUUAAAUAGGAAGGAUAGGUUUUUUGUUAGUUUAGGUUUAGUUUUGGUUUA